CUCGGCUUUCUAAUUCGCACUGCGAAGGAGCACGAGUUCAACUCUUAAGUAACGGGCACAAUUUUGUUUUUCGUUGCCAUGUAGCAAGGGUGAAGCUGAGAAUUGGGAUGUGACCUGACAACGGUAAUGGCAAAACAAAAUGGAAGGGUUGGAGAAAGCACAGCUACUAUGGAACUUAGAUAAACUGGAGCACCCACAAACAGUGUGACACAAAUUGUGGCACUUACGCUCGCAGCCAUCAGGGUUCGCUGCCUGGAAGUUGAAAAAACCUUUCUUGCAACGGUCGCAUCGGCGGGACUCGACAUUUUUUUUGCAGUGGCAGCGACCAGCAACAAGCCCCGAUGUUAGGUCAUCCUGUGGGUCGCACACGCCUUCGUCCAAGGAACCGCGGGGGUCACAA